rnacentral:lncRNA from 1 species
CUCAGACCGCAGCGUCGGCCGAGAGGACGCCGGGAUACUGGCCAGCUCCAAGUCGAAAGGAAGCGACGCAUGAGUUGUUUGGUGCGAAUUUUAAACGGAAGAACGCAGAAGAAUUCUCUUUAUGUUACCUUUAUUUAGCAACAAAUCAACUUGACUCAACUGAUACUUACUGAGUGCCUUUAAAGGAUGUGCUGAAACAGGUGGUGACUUUUCAAAUAAAAAUUCAGAGCCACAGGGAGAAAGUUGCAAUGUGGAACCAUCAACAUAU